rnacentral:tRNA from 1 species
GGGCUGGGGCUCAGCGGUAGAGCACUUGCCUCGAGUGUGAGAUGCACUGGGUUCGAAUCCCAGCACCACA